GAGACUAUACUUUGAGGGGUCAUUUCUAUAGUUUGUCGUUAGAUAAAUUUUUCUGAUCAUGUAGAACACCAAGAACUACAAGGAGGAGCCAGAACAUUCUCUCCUGAGUGUGAGGCACAUUCAAGGUGUUGCUUUUGCAAAUGCCUUUUACCACUGAGGAUGGUUCUUCCCUUGGAAGAGUGAGAGGGAGAGGAUGAAGUCUGAGUACU